AGUUGGUAUCUGAUGUUUAGGUGUCAGCAGCUGAGUUUGAAAAGAGACUUGGUUGUUUAUUUGCUCCAUUGUUUUAUCCUAUUAAUCACAUGCUUCAGGACUUUUGUUUCCAGUCUGUGGAGCUUGCUGCACUUCAUGUUUUUCUCUAAGUGCCACUAUCUGACUGCAGAGUCAGUGGGACAGAGACUGUGUCUUGCUGGGUGACCCUGGAGCAACAGAGACACAGUCAUGACUGGAGGGUUUAGAAACUGCAGUGACAGCUACUGCUUG
rnacentral:lncRNA from 1 species